rnacentral:rRNA from 1 species
GAUGAACGCUGGCGGCGUGCUUAACACAUGCAAGUCGAACGAAACACCUUAUUUGAUUUUCUUCGGAACUGAAGAUUUGGUGAUUGAGUGGCGGACGGGUGAGUAACGCGUGGGUAACCUGCCCUGUACAGGGGGAUAACAGUCAGAAAUGACAGCUAAUACCGCAUAAGACCACAGCACCGCAUGGUGCAGGGGUAAAAACUCCGGUGGUACAGGAUGGACCCGCGUCUGAUUAGCUGGUUGGUGAGGUAACGGCUCACCAAGGCGACGAUCAGUAGCCGGCUUGAGAGAGUGAACGGCCACAUUGGGACUGAGACACGGCCCAAACUCCUACGGGAGGCAGCAGUGGGGAAUAUUGCACAAUGGGGGAAACCCUGAUGCAGCGACGCCGCGUGAGUGAAGAAGUAUUUCGGUAUGUAAAGCUCUAUCAGCAGGGAAGAAAAUGACGGUACCUGACUAAGAAGCCCCGGCUAACUACGUG